GAUGAACGCUGGCGGCGUGCUCAACACAUGCAAGUCGAACGGUGAAGCAGGAGCUUGCUCUUGUGGAUCAGUGGCGAACGGGUGAGUAACACGUGAGCAACCUGCCCCUGACUCUGGGAUAAGCGCUGGAAACGGCGUCUAAUACUGGAUAUGUGAUGUGACCGCAUGGUCUGCAUCUGGAAAGAAUUUCGGUUGGGGAUGGGCUCGCGGCCUAUCAGCUUGUUGGUGAGGUAAUGGCUCACCAAGGCGUCGACGGGUCGCCGGCCUGAGAGGGUGACCGGCCACGCUGGGACUGAGACACGGCCCAGACUCCUACGGGAGGCAGCAGUGGGGAAUAUUGCACAAUGGGCGGAAGCCUGAUGCAGCAACGCCGCGUGAGAGAUGACGGCCUUCGGGUUGUAAACCUCUUUUAGCAGGGAAGAAGCGAAAGUGACGGUACCUGCAGAAAAAGCACCGGCUAACUACGUGCCAGCCGCCGCGGUAA
rnacentral:rRNA from 1 species